CUUAAAAAAAUCUUUAAAACGUUAUUGUAAAUAUACCCUUUUAUUCUCUAAGAUAGAAAUUAGAAAAAGAUGGUAAUUUACAUUAUUUAUUUUGUAUUUUUAAUGUCAAAACCAAGAAAUAGCUCUUGGUUUGGACUUACUCUGCAACAGAGCUAGUUUCUCCUAUGUAAAGAGAUCUUCAAGUGAGUUUUGUUGAUUGUGUUGUCUGGGGAAGGAUAAGCUAAUUCUGAACUCAUUCAGAUGAAGGUUGUUUUCAUGUCUUAACCCAUUUCUUCGGUUGCUUUGCUGUCCCAUAUGCACGUCCCAUAUGUCCCUCAGAAAUGUCACUUCUUCUAAACUUUGUAGUCUGCCUUGUGAAUCCUUGGCUAGGUUCCUUUUGGUUCCAUGAAAGGUCUGACAUGUCUUGGCUUCUUUCUCUGUCCCUCUUUGCAUGUCAAUGUGUCUUUUCUCACAGUUGUGAUUCAGAGGACUCUUAGAUUGGAGCCGGGAUUCUCUUAGGGCUCUUUAAGUCACAUUGAAGUUGAGUUUUCAGGUUCCCUUUUUUUGUUUGUUUGUUUUGAGUUUUUCCCUUCUAUUUUUCCCUCUUAUUUCUAUUGUACUUCGCCUCCUUGAGCUUAUUCCUGAGUGAAUAUGGCUUGACUACUGUUGCCUCUGCAGCCAGACCUGGGGGUUUUAGUUUGCUCAUGAAAAAGUGCAGGCAGGUAUGGAGAAUUGCUUUCUCAGGCGGGCUCACACCAUUGUGUACCAUUUCUGCAUAUAUCAUAUAUGCUGAAUCUUGUCCUAUACUGGACACCUUGGCUUGCAUGCUUUAUACUAUUAGUUUUCUUAUGUUUAAAAAUUACCAUGAAAUUUCUAUCUUUGUUUCUAUGGUAGACGUCCAAUUGAUGCUGUGAUUUUAGAUUUUUAUACCAUGGUAGCAGGCAAUGAUUUUGAGAGAUGUGAGGCUGACUUUACGUGGACGUGGGAUACAGGGAGCUCAGAAGGUAGACUUAGUGCAUAUAUCAAAAAGCUUGGUUAAAUUCUUCUCCAUUUCAAAAUAAACUUUCCAGUAUGUGGACACUGUAAAAGCCAUAGGCUUAUAGGUCACAAUGAUAUAUAUUUUUCAUAUAUUUUGAAACAAAAAUUGGCAGGUGAAGAUUCUGGAUUUAAAAGGGACCAUCAUAUUUGAAAAGUCCUGGAACCUCAGAGGACCCCUGUGAUAAAAAUAAUACUGUGGCAUGAGAUAUCUCGAGUCUUAAUCUAACAUGCUCAGUAGUUUGGAAAUCUAGCCCAGUCUACUCUGUAGUGGUCAUAGGUUCUGACAGGAUCUUUGGGUCCAUGUACGGUUUGGAGGGUCCAACAUUUCAGUGCUUUUUGAGUUUCUCAUUUCUAUAAAAAGUUAUCUUACAAGGGAGUCAGUCUUCAUGUUGGGGCUUUCCCAGGGAAACUGUCAUCACUGGUAACAAACUGUAACUUUAAAAAGGCAUGUUGUUGCUGUUAUUGUUUUGCCUUCUUUUUUUAAUAUAAGUGUGCUUGGGAACUCCUUACAUUUUAUGCAAUAAACUAUUUUUGGUAAA
rnacentral:lncRNA from 1 species